rnacentral:rRNA from 1 species
AUGCAGUGGCUUCCUCCAUAUUUUGGACAUGUGACUGCAUUCUGUAUUGAGAGCCAUCCUGCUAAAUGCAUAAUACUUGCAGGCCCUUCGUUGUUUGAUGGAAAUGACACUGCCAGGAUCAAUGGUUCCGAGUCUGAUGAGUAUGAAAAAUUUGACAAGGGAUUAAUGCAGUAUGGAUGUGCACAUUACCGAAGGAGAUGCCGCAUACGAGCACCAUGCUGCAAUGAGAUUUUUGAUUGCCGGCACUGCCACAAUGAAUCAAAGAAUUCGAUCAAAAUUGAUACUCCUACGCGACAUGAACUUCCACGCCAUGAACUGCAGCAGGUCAUAUGCACAUUGUGUGGCACUGAACAAGAGGUACGACAAGUAUGCAUCAACUGUGGUGUAUGCAUGGGAAAGUAUUUCUGUGAAGUGUGCAAGCUCUUUGAUGAUGAUGUCUCAAAACAGCAGUAUCACUGCCAUGCGUGUGGAAUAUGUAGAAUUGGUGGCAGGGAGAAUUUCUUUCACUGCUCAAAAUGCGGAUGUUGUUAUUCCAAAGUGUUGAAGAACAGUCAUGCAUGUGUUGAAGGAGCCAUGCAUCAUGACUGUCCAAUCUGCUUCGAGUACUUGUUUGAGUCAAGAAACGAUGUCUCUGUUUUGCCAUGUGGUCAUACAAUUCAUGAAAAAUGCUUGAGAGAGAUGAAGGAGCAUUGCCAAUUUGCAUGCCCGCUCUGCUCCAAGUCAGUAUGUGACAUGUCGAAGGCAUGGGAAAGACUGGACGCGGAACUAGCGACUCUGUCAAACUCCUUCGAUGAUAAAAUGGUUCGCAUAUUGUGCAAUGAUUGUGGGGCAGUAUCAGAGGUGCAGUUCCACUUAAUUGCACAUAAGUGCCAUAAUUGCAAGUCGUACAACACCCGGCAGAUUUGA